UAGGGAAUCUUCGGCAAUGGACGAAAGUCUGACCGAGCAACGCCGCGUUAGUGAAGAAGGUUUUCGGAUCGUAAAACUUUGUUGUUAGAGAAGAACAAGGACGUUAGUAACUGAACGUCCCCUGACGGUAUCUAACCAGAAAGCCACGGCUAACUACGUUCCAGCAGCCGCGGUAAUACGUAGGUGGCAAGCGUUGUCCGGAUUUAUUGGGCGGAAAGCGAGCGCAGGCGGUUUCUUAAGUCUGAUGUGAAAGCCCCCGGCUCAACCGGGGAGGGUCAUUGGAAACUGGGAGACUUGAGUGCAGAAGAGGAGGGUGGAAUUCCAUGUGUAGCGGUGAAAUGCGUAGAUAUAUGGAGGAACACCAGUGGCAAAGGCGGCUCUCUGGUCUGUAACUGACGCUGAGGCUCGAAAGCGUGGGGAGCAAACAGG
rnacentral:rRNA from 1 species